GAUGAACGCUAGCUACAGGCUUAACACAUGCCAGUCGAGGGGAAACGGCAUUAAGUGCUUGCACUUUUUGGACGUCGACCGGCGCACGGGUGAGUAACGCGUAUCCAACCUUCCCAUGACUAAGGGAUAACCUGCCGAAAGGCAGACUAAUACCUUAUGGUCUUCACUGACGGCAUCAGAUGUGAAGUAAAGAUUUAUCGGUUAUGGAUGGGGAUGCGUCUGAUUAGCUUGUUGGCGGGGUAACGGCCCACCAAGGCAACGAUCAGUAGGGGUUCUGAGAGGAAGGUCCCCCACAUUGGAACUGAGACACGGUCCAAACUCCUACGGGAGGCAGCAGUGAGGAAUAUUGGUCAAUGGGCGAGAGCCUGAACCAGCCAAGUAGCGUGCAGGAUGACGGCCCUAUGGGUUGUAAACUGCCUUUGUAUGGGGAUAAAGUCAAUCACGUGUGAUUGUUUGCAGGUACCAUACGAAUAAGGACCGGCUAAUUCCGUG
rnacentral:rRNA from 1 species